UGGGUUGGCCGAAAAGUUCGUUCGGGUUACAGAAAAACCUGAACCAACUUUUUGGCCAGCCCA
rnacentral:miRNA from 1 species